AUGCCCGCCGAUGAUGUUGUGGAGUUCAGGAAUACUGGGUUGGAGAGAUCAGAGCCACUGAAGAAAGAUCUAGAAUGGUUCAUGGAACAGGGCCACACCAUUCCAGAACCAUCUGCCGCUGGUACUGCAUGUGCCUCCUACCUGGAAGAGUUGUGUGAGAAGGACCCCCAAGCAUUUAUCUGUCACUUCUAUAAUGUGUACUUUGCUCAUACUGCUGGAGGGCGAAUGAUUGGCAAAAAGGUUGUUGAGAAGAUUCUGAACAAGAAAGAGCUGGAGUUCUACAAGUGGGAAAGUACCAUGUGCCAGCUGCUGUAG
rnacentral:rRNA from 1 species